GUGAAAGGCUAAUCAAGGCGGGUGAUAGCUGGUUCUCCUCGAAAGCUAUUGAGGUAGCGCCUCGCGUCUAACUCAGGGGGGUAGAGCACUGUUACGGCUAGGGGGGACAUAAGUCCUUACCAAACCGUUGCAAACUCCGAAUACCCUGAAGUUCAAUCGCGGGAGACACACGGUGGGAGCUAAAUUUCAUCGUGAAGAGGGAAACAACCCAGACCGCCAGCUAAGGUCCCUAAAAUUGGCUAAGUGGGAAACGAAGUGG
rnacentral:rRNA from 1 species